GUGAGGAAUAUUGGUCAAUGGGCGGGAGCCUGAACCAGCCAAGUCGCGUGAAGGAAGAAGGAUCUAUGGUUCGUAAACUUCUUUUGCAGGGGAAUAAAGUGCGGGACGUGUCCUGUUUUGUAUGUACCCUGAGAAUAAGGAUCGGCUAACUCCGUGCCAGCAGCCGCGGUAAUACGGAGGAUCCAAGCGUUAUCCGGAUUUAUUGGGUUUAAAGGGUGCGCAGGCGGGUUGAUAAGUCAGCGGUGAAAGUUUGCAGCUUAACUGUAAAAUUGCCGUUGAAACUGUCGAGCUUGAGUGCAAAUGAGGUAAGCGGAAUGUGUUGUGUAGCGGUGAAAUGCUUAGAUAUAACACAGAACACCGAUUGCGAAGGCAGCUUACUGGGAUGCAACUGACGCUCAUGCACGAAAGCGUGGGGAUCAAACAGGAUUAGAAACCCGUGUAGUCC
rnacentral:rRNA from 1 species